UGCAAUACCACUAGACUGUUCUCAUAAAUCUUCUCCCCCGUUGUAUCAAACCCUUCCACCAACUCUGAAUCCACUACACUCUUCUACAAAGCCCUUCAAUCACUCAGUCAGAUCGGACUUCGCUCCUCCUCUCAUUUCUCAAAAAUCAUGGCCAAGGUUAAGAUUGGAAUUAACGGAUUUGGAAGAAUUGGGCGAUUAGUGGCCAGGGUUGCUCUCCAAAGAGAUGAUGUUGAGCUUGUCGCAGUUAACGACCCUUUCAUCUCUGUUGAAUACAUGACAUAUAUGUUCAAGUAUGAUAGUGUACACGGCCAGUGGAAGCACCACGAGCUCAAGGUUAAGGAUGACAAGACCCUUCUCUUUGGUGAGAAGGCUGUUACUGUUUUUGGCUUUAGGAACCCAGAGGAGAUUCCAUGGGGCCAGACUGGAGCAGAUUACAUUGUGGAGUCGACUGGUGUCUUCACUGACAAGGACAAGGCUGCUGCUCACUUGAAGGGUGGUGCCAAGAAAGUCAUCAUUUCUGCCCCUAGCAAGGAUGCUCCGAUGUUUGUUGUCGGUGUCAAUGAGAAAGAAUACAAGCCCGAGCUCAACAUUGUUUCAAAUGCUAGCUGUACCACAAAUUGCCUUGCUCCCUUGGCCAAGGUUAUAAAUGACAGAUUUGGAAUUGUUGAGGGUCUCAUGACCACAGUCCACUCCAUCACAGCCACACAGAAAACUGUUGAUGGGCCAUCAGCCAAGGACUGGAGGGGUGGAAGAGCUGCAUCAUUCAAUAUUAUUCCCAGCAGUACUGGAGCUGCCAAGGCUGUUGGGAAAGUCCUACCAGCAUUGAAUGGAAAGUUAACCGGAAUGGCUUUCCGAGUCCCAACUGUUGAUGUGUCCGUGGUUGACCUCACAGUGAGGCUGGAGAAAGAAGCUACCUACGAUGAAAUCAAGGCUGCCAUUAAGGAGGAAUCUGAAGGAAAAUUGAAGGGAAUUCUAGGUUACACUGAAGAUGAUGUGGUGUCCACAGACUUCGUGGGAGACAAUAGAUCAAGCAUAUUUGAUGCCAAGGCUGGAAUUGCUUUGAGCAAGAAUUUUGUUAAGCUCGUUUCGUGGUAUGGGGUUACAGCACACGAGUGGUGGACUUGAUUAAGCACAUGGCAUCAGUUCAGUAAAAGUGGCAGUUUACUCAUUGGUGGCCAAGUGUAGUGGUGCUGCUGUGAGGAGUCUGUUAUUUGUUACUAGAUAAAGCAGUUUAGAAUAAAGUACUCACUCGGACUACAAGUGAGCGGCUCUUUGAUGUAAUUUAGGGAUAUCUGCACUCUUGGAUAUGGUUUGAGGUCAUCAAUUGGGUUGUUGUAGACUUCCCCACACAUUCCGAGACCCAGUCUUUGCAACUCUGGAUAUGUUUCUUGUUUUUGUUGUGUUAUGAAUGUGUAAUAAGUUUGGACCUUGCUUGGUGCU